CAAAACGUAGCUUACCCACAAAGCACCUUGCUUACACCAAGAAGAUAUCUAUUUGAACCAGAUCGUUUUGA
rnacentral:tRNA from 1 species